AAUGAACGCUGGUGGCGUGGAUUAGGCAUGCAAGUCGAGCGACAAGACCUCUUAAGCUUGCUUUUGAGGUUGGAGGAGCGGCAGACGGGGUAGUAAUACGUCGGAACGUACCCUCAGGACGGGAAUAGCGGCUGGAAACGGCCGGUAAUGCCCGAUAGUCCAGAGAUGGUAAAGGUGUGAGUCCGCCUGAGGAGCGGCCGACGCGGUACUAGGUAGUUGGUGGGGUAAUGGCCCACCAAGCCUUCGAUGCCUAGGGGGUGUGAGAGCAUGGCCCCCACCACUGGGACUGAGACACUGCCCAGACACCUACGGGUGCUGCAGUCGAGAAUCUUCCACAAUGGACGCAAGUCCGAUGGAGCGACGCCACGUGCGGGAAGAAGGCCUUCGGGUUGUAAACCGCUGUUGAAGGGGAGGAAGGGUCUGUGAAGAGCAGGCUUUGACCGAGCCUUUGAGGAAGCGCGGGCUAAGUACGUGCCAGCCGCCGCGGUAAUG
rnacentral:rRNA from 1 species